rnacentral:rRNA from 1 species
UACGUAGGGUGCAAGCGUUGUCCGGAAUUAUUGGGCGUAAAGAGCUCGUAGGCGGCUCGUCGCGUCGGCUGUGAAAUCCCGAGGCUCAACCUCGGGUCUGCAGUCGAUACGGGCGGACUGGAGUUCGGCAGGGGAGACUGGAAUUCCUGGUGUAGCGGUGAAAUGCGCAGAUAUCAGGAGGAACACCGAUGGCGAAGGCAGGUCUCUGGGCAUUAACUGACGCUGAGGAGCGAAAGCGUGGGGAGCGAACAGG